rnacentral:rRNA from 1 species
UACGGGGGGUGCAAGCGUUGUCCGGAAUCACUGGGCGUAAAGGGUGGGUAGGCGGACCUGUAAGCCCGGAGUGCAAUCUGUCUGCUUAACGGACAAUCGGCUUCGGAUACUGCAGGUCUUGAGUCACACAGAGGAAGAUGGAAUUCCUGGUGUAGCGGUGAAAUGUGUAGAUAUCGGGAGGAACACCGGUAGCGAAGGCGGUCUUCUGGGUGUCGACUGACGCUGAGCCGCGAAAGCGUGGGGAGCAAACAGG